CCUACGGGAGGCAGCAGUGGGGAAUAUUGCUCAAUGGGGGAAACCCUGAUGCAGCGACGCCGCGUGAGUGAAGAAGUAAUUCGUUAUUUAAAGCUCCAUCAGUAGGGAAGAAAAUGACGGUACCUGAGUAAGAAGCCCCGGCUAACGACGGGCCAGCAGCCGGGGUAAGACGUAGGGGGCAAGCGUUAUCCGGAUUUACUGGGCGUAAAGGGAGCGUAGACGGGAAUGCAAGUCUGGAGUGAAAGGCUGGGGGCUAACCCCCGGACUGCAGUGGACACUGGACGGCUGGAGUGCAGGUGAGGGAGGUGGAAUUCCGAGUGUAGCGGUGAAAUGCGUAGAUAUUAGGAGGAACAC
rnacentral:rRNA from 1 species